rnacentral:rRNA from 1 species
CAACCUACCUAUCAGAGGGGAAUAACCCGGCGAAAGUCGGACUAAUACCGCAUAAAACAGGGGCACCGCAUGGUGAUAUUUGUUAAAGAAAUCCGCUGAUAGAUGGGCAUGCGUUCCAUUAGGUAGUUGGUGAGGUAACGGCUCACCAAGCCGACGAUGGAUAGGGGAACUGAGAGGUUGGUCCCCCACACUGGUACUGAGACACGGACCAGACUCCUACGGGAGGCAGCAGUGAGGAAUAUUGGUCAAUGGGCGAGAGCCUGAACCAGCCAAGUCGCGUGAAGGAAGAAGGAUCUAUGGUUCGUAAACUUCUUUUGCAGGGGAAUAAAGUGCAGGACGUGUCCUGUUUUGUAUGUACCCUGAGAAUAAGGAUCGGCUAACUCCGUGCCAGCAGCCGCGGUAAUACGGAGGAUCCGAGCGUUAUCCGGAUUUAUUGGGUUUAAAGGGUGCGUAGGUGGUUUGAUAAGUCAGCGGUGAAAGUUUGCAGCUUAACUGUAAAAAUGCCGUUGAAACUGUCGGACUUGAGUGUAAAUGAGGUAGGCGGAAUGCGUGGUGUAGCGGUGAAAUGCAUAGAUAUCACGAAGAACUCCGAUUG